rnacentral:rRNA from 1 species
UACGGAGGGUGCAAGCGUUGUUCGGAAUUAUUGGGCGUAAAGGGCGUGUAGGUGGCUGUCCAAGUCUGGUGUGAAAGCCCACGGCUCAACCGUGGAACUGCAUUGGAAACUGGAUAGCUCGAGUAUUGGAGGGGGUCGCGGAAUUCCCGGUGUAGAGGUGAAAUUCGUAGAUAUCGGGAGGAACACCAGUGGCGAAGGCGGCGACCUGGCCAUUUACUGACACUGAGACGCGAAAGCGUGGGGAGCAAACAGG